CGGUCGGCCAUUUUGUGGAGUCAAAAUUGUCAAAGACCAACUCGUCCAAUCCAAGGCAACGUGUCCCUUUAAGCAUUUAGAUGUCGUGGAAAUAAUAUACAGAGGCCUUGAUUGUUUUCGACUCUUUGGAAUGUGCCUACCGGAACGCUUUCCUUGUUUCUUUAUUUCGCUAAGUUAAAAUUAAAACCAACCCAUUUAAAGUUCAGUUUUCAAAAUGGUGCAAUUUUAAAGCAGAAGAAAUUGAAUUUAUUUUGUUUCAUAUAAAUGUUGUUUAGUCGUCUAUUAAGGCAUAUUUUCAAAUGAUUUAUUUUGUUUUAUAUCUACUUCCUUUGAUUUGCAGCAAAUACAAUUAAUAAAAGCUUUAAUUUAUCUCAUAACGACAGUCUAUCUUUGCACUCAAAAAUUAAAAAUGUGAGGUAUUGUAAAUAAUUAUAAUCCAAAGUAUUUAUUGAACAAUAUAUUUAUGUAUUAAUAAAUAAUAAUAUGCCUAAUUUAUAUAAUAUUCCACCAUUCUAAUUCAAUACAAGUAACAGUACGCAGUUUAAAUAUGGAAGUAAAGUCACUGUGUCAGUCUUUUCCAAACAUUAAGUGAUUGCCUUUUUAUUGAUUUGUAUGUUUAGAUUCUAGUCUCCGUGUUUAGAGAUUAAAGUUGUAUGUGAAGUAACUUUGUUGAACACUAUUUAAUCGAAAGGCCUUAACGUUCAGACGUUUAUUAAGGCGGUUCCGCCCAGUACUAAAGCCUCAAGUAGAGUUGAAUAUAUUUGGUGGCCACAAAUAUUAAUAACUGUAGAAUAUAAACUAGAUGUAAGACUUAUAAUAGUAUAAUGUUUAUAUUUGUUCUUAUCGGAGUUGUUUGUGUGUACUCGUUACAAUUUCUCUCUUCGGUAAGCCUACAUAUAGAAUUGAUUGUUAUGUGUGUUAUAACUGUGAUAGCUGCAUCGAAAUUUGUUACACAUUAAAUUUAUUGCGUAUACAUUUUUUAUUUAUUUUAUUUUUAUGAUAAUCGUCAAUAAGACAAAUCGGUUAAUAAAUAAAUAAAUAUGAAAAAACAGAAAACUUACUCUGUUAAAACCGCACUAAGUUUGUUCUAAGUUAUAUUCGAUUCCCCCUUUAAAAUUUGUGGUGCUUACUGCAUGCAUUAGCAGUGUUGUAUAAUGUCCUUUUGGAUUUUUUUUUAUAAAUUAUGUAGGGUACACCACUGGAACACAAACAAAUUGGCAGGGGAACCCGGGUGGACAUUAAUUUUGCCAGUUUGCCUUUUGCGCCCUCAAUAGUUUAUAAUGCGCCAGUCAACAAUCUAUGGCGGAAUAUUUAAUGUCAACAAAAUCUCCUAAACUUCUUCUCGCAAUAUCUCCUUCAAGAGCCUCAUUAAAUGGCCCAUGAACUGGUCAUCAAUAGCGGAAGUAUCACUCCAUGUUUUAAAGGUUUUGGUAUACCUGGCAAUUAAAGGCCAUUCAUCUUCAGAAUAUCUUUCAUCAAUAAAUCCUGAUACCAUGCUAUGCUCUCAUGAUAAAAGAUUGGAGUCAUCCCAAUUGUGGCUCUCUUGAAUCCAACAAAGAAAGGAACACUUUGUGGACCCUCAACCAUUGGAGCCUACCUCACCUGACAUUGUGUACAAGUCUUUGCUGAUUUGAGGUUGUAGAUUAUUGUACAAGAGACACUGCUACAGUUUGUCAUCCCUCUUAACUCUUGUGGAGUAGUCUUGGCUCAAGACGCUCAUGUUGUUGAUUAUAUUUAAAGAUCUCUUGAGUGGUCGAUAGGUAAGGGCACCGCUAUCAACCACAAAUCAUGGGAUGGAGUAUGGGAAGAUAUUUAUAAAGUGAGUCUUGAGCCAAGACUAAUGUUGACUCUGAAUACUAAAGGAUCUUGGCAAUCCAGCUUUGAGGGAGUACUCUUUGAAUUAGACCUGAUUCCUACUGUGACAGUAAUAUUCUGAUUCCUACAUGGACAGCGACUUUUGGAUUCUUACAUGGACAGCAAGAUUUGGAUUCCCACAUGGACAGCAACUGUUGGAUUCUGUAUACUUUGACAUAGCAACAUUUGGAUUCCUAUAUGGACAGCAACAUCUCAUUCCUACGUGGACAGCAACAUUUGGAUUCAUGGGCAGCAAAGUCUGAUUCCUAGCAACAUCUGAUUCUGACAUGGACAGCACAACUUGUGUCCCACAUGGACAAUUUUUAACACAUAUCUGUGUAAACUAGUAAAGGGAAUCUUAGUCGAAAAAAAACCAAAAACAAUUUGAGACCAAUAUGAUUCAAUUAAAGGCGCUGCAGCUCAUUUCACAAACUUAGGAUUUCAUCCAACUAAAGAUGGGUUUAAUCCGUCCUACGUCUUUAGAUACAAAACUGAACUCAUCCCAACUCCUGGGAUUAAUCCUAAGUUAGAUAGAGUUUGGUGAAAUUGACCACUGGAUGCAUAAAAUAACAAAUCUGUAAAAAUUUGGCCUUAAUUGGUCGUCAAAGUUUCAAGAAAAUAAUGACAGAAAAAAACAAAUGCCCCUUAUUGCAUGCUUUAAUUUUGUGUGCUUGUGAAUGCAUAAAAGGCUGCAGUCCUGCUGAAGCCUUUUAUUACUUGAGAGAGAAAUUACCUCAUUUGCAAUAACUACUCCAUUGCUCGUUCGUAAAUACCGAGUCAGUUUUUAUGCUAUCAAUUAUUUCCGUUAUGUCCAGUGCCCUAAAAAAGCCAGAAUGAUAAUCAUACAUAUCCAUUAUCCAGGAAUGACUGUUAUCAUGAUCAGCUUAAUGGAUAAUUUUAAAGGCAGUGGACACUAUUGGUAAUUACUCAAAAUAUUUAUCAUCAUAAAACCUUUCUUGAU